AAAACCUCCGUCUCUCUCUCUCUCUCUCUCUCUCUCUCGCUAGUUCGCCGCUUAUUCUUCAAUCUAUUGCCGGAAAGAGGAGAAGAGGAAACGGAAAGGGAAGCGGAAAAGGAGAAUGGCGGAUGUGGUGCAGUACAAGCUGGAGCGGAUGCUCCCGGAGCUGGACGACCUGGAACGGCGCGGCUUGUUCAGCAAAUUCGAGAUAGGGGAGAUUGUCAAGCAGCGCCGGAAGUUCGAGUACCGGCUGAAGAGGCACAGCCCGCUGAAAUCGGAUUUCAUAGCGUAUAUUGAUUACGAGAAGCAGCUCGACGCUCUCCGCCUCCUGCGGAAGAGAGCUCUGAUGAAGGAGGACGGCCACGCAAAAUCGAAGAAAUCGGUUUCGGAUUUCUCCGGCGUUGCGAGGAUUGUGGAGAUAUAUCGCCUCGCUACGAAUCGGUUUAAGGGCGACAUUGAGCUCUGGUUUCAGUAUUUGGAGUUCUGCAGAGAGCGAAGAAAUGGUAGAAUGAAGAAGGCUCUGGUUGAUGCAAUUAGGAUGCACCCAACAGUGCCUGGGCUUUGGAUUUACGCUGCAUCUUGGGAAUUUGACCAAAACUUAAAUGUUGCAGCUGCUCGUGCCUUGAUGCAACGUGGUUUUAGAGCAUGCCCAAGUUCUGAGGAUCUAUGGAUAGAAUAUCUUCGCAUGGAGCUCACCUACCUUAAUAAAUUAAAGGCUAGAAAAGUAGCUCUGGGAGAAGAUGUAGGCACGCUGACAAACGAUCAGAAAAAUGCAAAAGAGAAGCAGUGGAGAGAUGAGAACAAAGAAUUAUUUAUGUCCCUUGAUGAUGAGAUUAAGGAUGACAAAGCAUCAAAUCCUCAAGAUGCAGAACAAAAGGACAAAGUUGAUUUAUUUAAAGAGCAUGGUUUUAGCAUUUUUCAAACUGUAUACAAUAGUGCUAUUGAAGCCAUCCCUUCUAGUUUCAGCUUAAGAACGCGAUUUCUUGAGAUACUAGACGCAACAGAUCUAGCUCAUUCAGAAGAUAUGCAAAAACAGAUACUUGAUGAUUUGAAAAAGGACUUCUGUAAAGAACCAACAUAUUGGGACUGGCUGGCAAGACUGGAAAUGUUUGGUCUUAAAAACGUGGAGAAGGUUUCAGAAGGAAUGAUCUCUGAUCGUGUACGUGAAGCAAUUCAGGUAUAUGAGGAGGGUUUAAAAGUUGUGCCCUCAGCCACGAUGUUUGAACUUUAUGUGAAGUUCUUGACAGAUGCCAUCCCUUGUGGAAAUGGAGAUGGUAAAUCUUCUGAUAACUCAAGCAAUCAUGUUGGUGAUCCCAUUGCACAGCUGUUGAUGGUAUAUGAGAAGGCUGAAAGCAUGGGGUGCAUCACUGAAGCUCUUGCUUGUCAACAUGUUUCUUUCCUUUUGCAACUGGGAAAGCAAGUUGAAGCCAAGACACUGGUAGAAAAGUUUUGUACAGGAAAAUUUUCUGAAGCAGUGCAUUUAUGGGCAUUACGGCUCUCCAUAGAAAUGAUGUGCACUGAAAAUGGGUUCUCUUCAAACAAGGCUGCUCUGUUAUCAUUCUUUGAACUCCUUAGGAAUGUUCUAAUGAAGGUUUCUAUAUCAAAAGCAGAAAACUUGUGGCUUAUGGCACUCAAGGUUUUUUCAAGUCAUAAACAGAUUUUUGACAAACUGAUAGAUACUGCGGUGGCUUUAUUGGCUAAAGAUGGUGGAAGUGAUGGUGGAUUUUCGCUCUCUUCUGCCAUUGUAAAUUAUGUUCUACAGAAGGAUGGACUUCGCAGUGCAAGAGAGAUGUACAGGAGAUUUAUCGCACUACCACACCCAGGACUGUCAAUAUAUAAGAAUUGCAUUGAAUUGGAAUUGAGCAUUGUGUCCACUGGUGAUGAGGGUUCUCUUGCAAAUGCCCGCUCACUAUACGAUGCUAUGCUGACAACAUAUGACCAAGAUGCAAACUUGUGGCGAGACUACUACUCUAUGGAGGUUAAGUUUGGAACAUUGGAAAAAGCAGCAGCAGUCGAAUGGCGUGCACGAAAAACACUCAACAAAGGCUUCCCACUACUCUCAACGGUUUAGAGUUCAGGCUUAAAUUUGUGUAUGCUAACCACAGAAAUUGUGUUUUCUUUUUCUUUUCCCCUGUUGUUGAUGUUUUGAACAACUACCGAGUUCAGUAAAGGAUUUUUGGCUAAGUUUGAAUCCCCUCACCGCAACUCCGCCCAUCCUAGAGAUUGGCAGAGGAGAUAAAUUGCGGGGAAUGUCUCAACUAGCCAACAAUCUUGUACACUAAUGUUGUCUUGUUAGCAAAGCAAAUUUAUAAACUUAUUUUAAUUUAGUUGACCAGUUGAACUAUAUCUUGCCGGAACUUAUGGAUAUUUUCUAAAAUUACAGAAAAGUACACUCAAAGGUCUCAAAGUGAA